rnacentral:rRNA from 1 species
UAAACGACUUUCGGCAACGGAUAUCUNGGCUCUCGCAUCGAUGAAGAACGUAGCGAAAUGCGAUACUUGGUGUGAAUUGCAGAAUCCCGUGAACCAUCGAGUCUUUGAACGCAAGUUGCGCCCGAAGCCUUCGGGCUAAGGGCACGUCUGCCUGGGCGUCACGC